AAUUAUACUACUAAGUUAUAAAAAUUAAGUUGAAAAAACAUUUACGCCCCAACUCAAAUUUAUAUAGCCUCACUGUCUCUGUCUCUAAUUCUCUAUCUCUCCACCUCUUUCUCUAUUCACAUGCAUAGCCUCGUUCGAUGUUAUAGAUGUCGUCGCCACCGCCAACGACUGAAUAAUCAUAAGGUCGUCUCUUUUCGUACUAUUUCGUGAUUUCCACUAAAUCAUCAUAACGACGUUCUCGUUCUUCAAGCAAUCGAGGCCUAAAGACACCACAGGAAUUGGCGAAGGCGAUAAAUGAUAGUCUCAUGGAGAUCGAUUCCAUUACUGCAGCUGAAGCCAAAUCCCUAGAAAAAGGUAGAACAGUGGAAAAUGUGAUUAUAAUUUGUGAUUCGCUGGUUCUAAUUUUUCUGUUGUUAUUGGUUUGUUAUAUUUUUUGUCUUCUAUUGAAGGUAAUUUGACUGAUAAGGCAGUAUGAACAGUUAAUUAGUUAAUUUUGGUACCAGCAUGUAACUUCUUCUACUUACUUUUUUUUCUUUUUUGAUUUACUGUAUCGAUAUUCUUGAGAAAAUUGUGAUUUGUUUUACUUAGAAGAUACUUAUAAAGUAGUCAAACUUUUCGAAAUGAGUGUGUAGAUGCAAGUAAAAUCAUAUUUUUUUAACAGUGAAGAGAUCAUUGAUUUCUUAUAUAGGUUCUAAUUCUUAGCUAAAAGGAUAAGUUGAUCAGUAGAAUGAGUUCAGGCUAUUCUGUUCAGAUAUUAGUUUCAGGAAUUUAAAUUUUUUCCCAUGAAAGCCAAAAAAGGUAGAAGAUAAGAUCCCGUCCCAGUGAGCUGGAAAGUCAUGGAUUUUACAAUUUAAAGGUUAGAAGUUCUUAACUUAAUCUUCAGUUAAGUGUCUGAUUUUACAGUGAUUGACAUGGAACAAAUUACAUGUGUAGAAACAAAAGGAAACAGGUUCUCGAAGGUGCAACUUGCUAUAUCAUUUAUUCAGUCUGUGAUGUGUAUAUAAUACACCUCUCUGUGACUACAUAGCUUAUUAGUUUUAAUAUGCAGAAGCAUAUUUACUUUAGAUUGUACUUUCUUCAAGCACUCAUCAGUUUUAGAUUAUUACAUAAGACUUAUGUGUGUGUGUGUGUGUUUUUAAUGCUUGUUAAUCUUUAAUUAUGUGCAAAGUAUAUCACCACUGAACUACAUUUUUUACUUGCCGAUCGAAUUCCUCCUUACUCUCGUCGCAAACUUUCUCUACUUAACUUUUGAGGCCUUUGAAUUAGUUCGAUUUUGUGUUCGGAAACUAUAAGGUUCCUUAAUGACUAUGUUCUGUUUUUAAUAAAGGCCCUUGAUUUAAUUGAUGCGGUCAAAGGACUGCAUGCACGAACAAAUCAUGGAUCAUACAUACAGGUUAUUUGGAAGAAAUAAAUAGCUAUAUUGAUUCCUGUUUAAACUUUGGAAUGCAAAUGAUGGAAUCACAUGAUCAUUGCCACUUGACUUGGACAAAUUUGCAAGGUAUCUUCCUCUUCGUAUCUUUCGUUUCUGGGGCCAUUGUCGGAGCUGCUGGUGCUGAUUUUUUUAUUUUUUUUUCAGAACUGCCAGAGAGAGAAAAGUGAGAAACAGUGGUGCUAAUCGAGGAAGGAGAAGACGCAAGUGAGAAAUUCACUGUAGAUCGUAAUUUAGGAUUCAUGUUCUUAGAUUUUGAAUUGGGGCUAUAUAAAUUAGAUAUUUAACAGUAUUUUUUAUAUUAGAAUCAAGAUAUCAGGAUGGGGGUUAUGAGUAUCUAUUAAUACAUUGUACGCAUUAAUGGGGCUAUAAGGUUAAGAUAGUAAAAUCAUAAUUAUUUUUAUUAUUUUUUAAGAAAAGAGGUUAUAUUGAGAGAAUUGGGGGCUGUGUUUAAA
rnacentral:lncRNA from 1 species